rnacentral:lncRNA from 1 species
AUCACGCUUUUUACUCGUCUACAGGGAAAUCUCCUCCCCCUCGUGCGAUCGGGAAAAUUAACCCUUUGCGCGAGAGGGCGCAGAAGAGCAAGACCUCCCCUCGCCCUGGGGGACAGUUUUGUUUACAAGAAAUCAACUAAAAUGAGGCGAGGGCACGUCAUUCAGUUAGAUAAUCCCAGCAAGACAUUGGAGGCUGAGGCAAGAAGAUUGAUGCUAGUAAAGUUGCCAGAAAUUCAAGGACAAGGUUUCUAGGUUCAGCAGUCCUGACUGUCCUGGAACUCACUUUGUAGACCAAGCUGGUCUUGAACUCAAAAAGAUGUACCUGCCUCUGCUUCCCAAGUGCCCGAAUUAAAGAAGUGCUCCACCACCGUCCAGCUUAGAAUGAUUAUUUUCUUUCUGGACUUUUGUAAGGAUAGGAAAGAUG